rnacentral:rRNA from 1 species
AGGGUGUAAAACGCUGCAGACUUGGUGUUGGGAACCCUUCGGGGGUGCUCAGUGCCGGAGAGAAGUUGUUAAGUCUGCUACUUGGGGAGUACGUCCGCAAGGAUGAAACUUAAAGGAAUUGGCGGGGGAGCACCGCAACGGGAGGAGCGUGCGGUUUAAUUGGAUUCAACGCCGAAAAACUCACCAGCAGCGACUGUUACAUGAAAGUCAGGUUGAUGACCUUACUAGAUUUUCAGAGAGGAGGUGCAUGGCGUCAGUGACU